AAGGAAGGGAACUACACAUGGGUGUGGGAACCAAGAGGGCAUGUGUGAUCUUAGCUACGCAACCAGGGAUCAAACCUGUAAAUCCUGCACUGGAAGCAUGGAGUCUUAACCACUGGACUGCCAGGGGCAGGCAAGAAGUCUACUGAGCUGCUGGGACUGCGUCAGAAGCACUUCAGCACCAGCCAGACCUCCCUAUCACUUUGUCUACGGACUCUGCAUGGUAGCUUACAGUUUUCAAAAUGGGUUUAAGGAAAUACCUUCUUCCCCCUUACCCAGUGCCUCUCCUGCUCCCCCCAUGGAAUAGUCAGGGGCCUGAAAGUCA
ensembl:lncRNA